rnacentral:rRNA from 1 species
GGAUGUGAUCAUACCAGCACUAAAGCACCGGAUCCCAUCAGAACUCCAAAGUUAAGCGUGCUUGGGCGAGAGUAGUAAUAGGAUGGGUGACGUCUUGGGAAGUCCACGUGUUGCAUUCC